rnacentral:lncRNA from 1 species
CCCUUUGUUCUCCGAGGGCAGCGCGUGGAAGCACUGGCCACUCCACCACCUCGUCACGCUCGAGGCCUCGGGCUCCCGCCAAAGCCAAACCUCGUGCCCUAGGUUGAAGCUCCAGCCCAUGCCUUGGAGAACCAGCUCUGAUUCACAAGAAGGUGCAUCCUGGAUCUUCUACACACAUGC